rnacentral:rRNA from 1 species
AUGCAGUCGAGCGGAACGANAAUAGCUUGCUAUUNGGCGUCGAGCGGCGGACGGGUGAGUAAUGCUUGGGAAUAUGCCUUUGAGUGGGGGACAACAGUUGGAAACGACUGCUAAUACCGCAUAACGUCUACGGACCAAAGGGGGGGACGCUUCGGCACCUCUCGCUCAUUGAUUANCCCAAGUGAGAUUAGCUAGUUGGUAAGGUAAUGGCUUACCAAGGCGACGAUCUCUAGCUGGUUUGAGAGGAUGAUCANCCACACUGGGACUGANACACGGCCCANACUCCUACGGGAGGCAGCAGUGGGGAAUAUUGCACAAUGGGCGAAAGCCUGAUGCAGCCAUGCCGCGUGUGUGAAGAAGGCCUUCGGGUUGUAAAGCACUUUCAGCGAGGAGGAAAGGUUAGUANUUAAUAACUGCUAGCUGUGACGUUACUCGCANAAGAAGCACCGGCUAACUUCGUG